rnacentral:rRNA from 1 species
UACGUAGGGUGCAGGCGUUAAUCGGAAUUACUGGGCGUAAAGCGUGCGCAGGCGGUUUGCUAAGUCAGGUGUGAAAUCCCCGGGCUUAACCUGGGAACUGCGCUUGUAACUGGCAAGCUAGAGUGUGGCAGAGGGGGGUGGAAUUCCACGUGUAGCAGUGAAAUUCGUAGAUAUUGGGAAGAACACCGGUGGCGAAGGCGGCCUUCUGGACAGUGACUGACGCUGAGACGCGAAAGCGUGGGGAGCAAACAGG